AUGUACACGGCUUACCAGGUGGAUGAACGGACGUUCAAGGUGUGUUCUCUCUUGGGCAUGUCGGAUUCGGAACCUAAAGACCCGGACAAGGGAAGGAACUACUUUGUGAAGACCUCGAUAAACGAAGGCGAAUACUACUACCAAUGCUGCAAAUUCGAAUGGGACGGGGUUGUGUGCUGUCACAUACUGAAAGUAAUGGAUAUGCACGUGGUAACGCGAUUGCCCCGCCAUUUCAUAUGGCAACGAUGGACUUGGGACGCUGACAAUGUGUUGGGGCCACAAACAUCAAAUGCAGUUUUGGUUGUGCAUGAUGAGAGACCAGAGGCAACCAUGGAUGCCAUGAGGCACGUUGUGUUGACCAAGAACUAUGCUGAACUAAGAGAUGAAUCAUGCAAGAGUGAUGAGACAGCGAGGGUGGCAGAAAAACACAAGAAGACCCUGAAAAGAGAGCUUGAUGAGAUCAAAAAGAGGAAGGCUGAAGAAGCCUUACACAGGUUUCCCCGGGCUCAAGUGUGCCUUCGUCCAUGA
rnacentral:rRNA from 1 species